rnacentral:snRNA from 1 species
AUACUUACCUGGCUGGGGAGAUACCAUGAUCACAAAGGUGGUUUUCCCAGGGCGAGGCUUAUCCAUUGCACUCCGGAUGUGCUGACCCCUGCGAUUUCCCCAAAUGUGGGAAACUCGACUGCAUAAUUUGUGGUAGUGGGGGACUGCGUUCGCGCUCUCCCCUG